rnacentral:rRNA from 1 species
GACGAACCUGACGAACGUUAUUCGGAAUCACUGGGCUUAAAGGGUGCGUAGGCUGUGCAGAAAGUUGGGUGUGAAAUCCCUCGGCUUAACCGAGGAACUGCGCCCAAAACUACUGUGCUCGAGUGAGAUAGAGGUGAGCGGAACUUAGGGUGGAGCGGUGAAAUGCGUUGAUAUCCUAAGGAACACCAGUGGCGAAGGCGGCUUCCUGGACCGAUUCUGACGCUCAGGAGCGAAAGCGUGGGUAGCGAUCCGG